AAUAGAAUGUUGCAGUGGGGUGUUACCAACUAGAGAAUACUCAUUCACAUCCCAUCAGCAAUUUAGCAGCUAAGUUUAGCUCUGAUACUGUAGAAAAUGCAGUUUUUCCCGAUUGGCCACGCCCCUACUACUCUACUCAUUUAUUACCAGUUCUUAAAACGAGCUGAAGUUAACGUGCCUGCAAAAUUUGGAAGCCUAUGCUCCAAAAAUAUGAAAAUUAUCCGCCAUAGCUUUUUAGUCUUGGGAGGUCAGCCCGAGUAUAUAUAUCAUAUUUCAGGUCUCUAGCAUCAAUACUGCCGAAUACCUAAAUUUGUACAAUGCGUAUUUGAACUACUGGAGUCUUGUUUGGAAAAUAUACGCAUAUCAUCGUUUUAAUCAUGAUCUCAAAAUUGCAUGAAGAUAUUCAUGCAAGUGUUGUUCCUUGAUUACUUUUCUUCUAAGGACUCCGGAUAGAGCAGGAUAGCUAUUAAAGUACAGAGAAGUAGAAAGAGUUUCAUGGAGCAAGAAUGGAACUGUUUUUAGAUGACUGUAGCUGAUUGAAUUUGUAAUGGUAUUAAAAUAAAUAUUUAAAUUGUUCUUACAUAAAACGCCAUUGGAAGACCAAAUUGCCAUCUGCCUGAGAUUAUAUAAGCAGAUAAUUAAAUAAAAGCAUUUAUUUCUA